rnacentral:rRNA from 1 species
UACAUGCCCUUCAGUGGGGAAUAGCCCAGGGAAACUUGGAUUAAUACCCCAUGGUAUCGCAAGAUUAAAGGUGGCCAGCAAUGGCUGUCGCUGAAGGAUUGGUUCGCGCCCUAUCAGCUUGUUGGUGAGGUAACGGCUCACCAAGGCUACGACGGGUACCUGGUCUGAGAGGACGAUCAGGCACACUGGAACUGAGACACGGUCCAGACACCUACGGGUGGCAGCAGUCGAGAAUAAUUCACAAUGGGGGCAACCCUGGUGGUGCAACGCCGCGUGGAG